UACGUAGGUGGCAAGCGUUAUCCGGAAUUACUGGGCGUAAAGCGCACGCAGGCGGCCUUUUAAGUUUGACGUGAAAGCUCCUGGCUUAACCGGGAGAGGUCGUUGAAGACUGGAAGGCUUGAGACGAUGAGAGGGGUGCAGAAUUCCCGGUGUAGUGGUGGAAUGCGUAGAUAUCGGGAGGAAUACCAGUGGCGAAGGCGGCACCCUGGCAUCGGCCUGACGCUCAUGUGCGAAGGCGUGGGGAGCGAACGGG
rnacentral:rRNA from 1 species